rnacentral:tRNA from 1 species
UGAUCUAGAGUAAAUCUAUGUUUCGCUUACAACGAGGCUAUUAAUGAUCAUGUGGUUUU